rnacentral:lncRNA from 1 species
ACCUGAGAUUACCUCAGUGACUUGCAAGCAACUCACUGUGCUUUGAUACUGGACUAACUAAAUUUUUAAUUCAGUGAUGGAAGGCUUUUGGGCAUAGUCAAGUACUUGCAAAGUCAGAGUAUGAUCGAGAUGGGAUUGACCACUCCAAGAGUUGGAGAAGAAUGAGUCACUGUAUUUCAAUUUAGCAAAAUUUUGAUCAGGAUAAUCUAUCAAAUGGAUUUGAUAUUUUGAAAUACAAUGUGGACAACCU